GGUGUGGAAGUGCAGUAAUGCAUUAAGCUAACCAGUACUAAUUGCCCGUACGGCUUGUCCCUAUAACCUUAGCAGGU
rnacentral:rRNA from 1 species